UACACUGUGGCAGCAACAGAAACGCUGUUUUAAGCCAUAUUUGUUUACAAUUUGAAAAGUAAAGUUUGCCGAACUAAUUAUGAGCUGUUAUCGUUGCUGUGCAGCAGUGGAAAUACUGAAAACUGUCACUGGAUUACUUUAAUGUUGAAGAAAUAUUUUAAACCAGAAAAUUCUGGUUCCAAAUCACCAUAAUGAGAAGCCCACGUCAUUCCUAAGAAAAAGCUCUCCUCCUGAGGGUCAGGAAUGGUUUCCAGGUAGGCAGCGAUAGAUGACCGAGUGAAGUUAAAUCCAUGAAUACCAUCUUCUGGAAACACCAGGAUCUGGGCCCCCUGAGAGUGAAACGAAGAUGACAGAGAGAGAUGAGUAUUUCCAAAACAAUAAGAAGAGAGAGAAGGACCUCUCCAACAACCUCUACCGACUCCUGUUAAGCCCACAGACCAGCCAUCUCUGCAAUCUCUUCAUCCAACUGCUAGCCAUGUCAUCUGCCAGGCUUUAAAAUAAGAGGAGAAAGAGUAAGUUUUGUUUGGCAUGGUAUGUCUUAAGAUUCUUACGUUUGUUGCAUAUGUUGUUCUAGAGAAAUUACAAACCAGUGCACAGUAUUUUGUUCACGAGUUAUUUUGCUGCAUUUUGGUGGCCACUCUAAAAUGAUUCUGGUUAAAUACGGUCAGGCCCUGACUUAAGAGGACUUUGUGAUUCACCUUGAUUUGAAACUAAAACUUACUUUGAGAGAAAUGUUCAAAUAUGCAAGUCACCUCACCAACUUUCCCUUUUUGAAUAAAAACUCAUAUUUGAUUUCU